CUCCCUACCUUCCUAUCUAACUGCACGGCGGCCCGUGCAAGACUUUACGACUGCGCCGAAGUUGGGAACACGCUGUCCCCUGAAACCCUACGAUGAAUGGCCGCAUGGGGAGCCGCACGUAGCUCCCUUGCCGAUCAUUCCGGUGCGGUGGUGCUCCCCCUCACCUUGGGGAGCCGAAACACCGCCGGCCGGACUACGUGGACAUGGCUGCUGGAUGAGGCAGCAUACUCACCUUUGACCGCAGACUCGUGAGCCCAGGAACACUGCCGACACCUGCCUGCAUGUGUGUCUGACUGACAAUCUAUUAUCUAAAGAGGAGAAGGAAGCCAUAAGAAAACUGGAAAAGCAGAAACCAAAUAUGAAGAUCAUUUACUGAACUGAGAAGAAGCCGAUUCCUCUCUGUGAUGAGCAGAUAACAGGACUUUGGUGGAGAAGACUUCUUCAGAAGUCUGGUAUUAGGAGCGUCUCCUGGUGCUUUAUGGGUAAUAUCACUGAUAUACAGAAGAUAAGGAAAUGUCUAAUAUUAUAAUAAACAUGAUACCAGAAA